AGGGAAAGUUUGCAAAGAACUUUGAAGAGAGAGUUUAAGAGGACGUGAAACUACUUAGAAGCAAGAAAAAGGAGCUGAAUGUGGCCAGUUGCAUUCAAAGAGGAGCUUCAGGACUCAGCUGGAUUUCCAUAACUGAUGUUCAAGGAGUUCCUAGUGCAAUUGCAGCUGAGCCUCACUGGUUGCUUUUGAUUCUGUUGGAGGGCUUCUUAGCUGAUGACCUGUUGAAUAUAGCUGGUUCCUCGCUAGGUUUCCCUCUUGUCAGUGCCAAUUGUGUGGCAAAUGGAGCAUCUGUUCAGCUUGGACUGUUGAUCAGGGUAUAAGUGGCUUCUGAGCUAUGCUUCUGAGUCAUGAAAUGCCUGGGUCUCCAUCUAAGUUUGACAUGAUCCAAACCAGUGCUUGUCAGUCAUCCUUUCAUCCCGUCUUGAAACACGGACCAAGGAGUCCAGCAUGUGUGCAAGCAACUCAGGAUUAAACCUGAAAUGCGCAAUGAAAGUGAUUACUUUGGGAUUUUCACUUGUUGAAACUCACCAUAGCCAUGUCUAUUUUGCAUUGCCAAUUAGGCAUAGGACUAGUGGACAUGCUGGGACCCGAAAGAUGGUGAACUAUGCAUGAGCAGGAUUAAGCCAGAGGAAACUCUGGUGGAAGUCCAUAGCGGUUCUGACGUGCAAAUCGAUUGUCAGACUUGUGUAUAGGGGCGAAAGACUAAUCGAACUAUCUA
rnacentral:rRNA from 1 species